UACGGGGGGGGGAAGCGUUGUUCGGAAUUACUGGGCGUAAAGGGCUCGUAGGCGGCCAACUAAGUCGGACGUGAAAUCCCUCAGCUUAACUGGGGAACUGCGUCCGAUACUGGAUGGCUUGGAUUUGGGAGAGGGAUGCGGAAUUCCAGGUGUAGCGGUGAAAUGCGUAGAUAUCUGGAGGAACACCGGUGGCGAAGGCGGCAUCCUGGACCAAUAUUGACGCUGAGGAGCGAAAGCCAGGGGAGCAAACGGG
rnacentral:rRNA from 1 species